rnacentral:tRNA from 1 species
AAGGUUUUAGCUUAAUUAAAGCAUCUGAGUUGCAUUCAGAGGAUGUGAGAUAGAGUCUUGCAAGUCUUA